GUAUUUUAUUAUAAAAUAAUCAAUUUCAGACGGGUAAUAUUUAGACAUGUUUAAACGUAAUAAAAAUUGGCAGGCCGAGCAGACGAUGUUGUCUAACCCAAUGGAGAGAUCCUAACCUGCCAACAAACACUUCAAUGAUUCACACAAGGUGGAUAUGGAUAAAAUUAUCCAUUAUCGUGGACAAUUGUUAAUGAUCCUUCCGCAGGUUCACCUACGGAAA
rnacentral:misc_RNA from 1 species